CACGCUGUAAACGUUGUGUACUAGGUGUUAGUGACUUGUUCACUAGUGCCGACGCUAACGCAUUAAGUACACCGCCUGGGGAGUACGGCCGCAAGGCUUAAACUCAAAGAAAUUGACGGGGGCCCGCACAAGCGGUGGAGCAUGUGGUUUAAUUCGAUGAUACGCGAAAAACCUUACCUGGGCUUGAACUGUACAUGACAGGUGUAGAGAUACACCCUUCUUCGGACAUGUAUAGAGGUGC
rnacentral:rRNA from 1 species